GUCCACGCCCUAAACGAUGGCGACUAGUUGUUGGGGGAUGAACUCCCUUAGUAACGCAGCUAACGCGUGAAGUCGCCCGCCUGGGGAGUACGGUCGCAAGAUUAAAACUCAAAGGAAUUGACGGGGGCCCGCACAAGCGGUGGAUGAUGUGGUUCAAUUCGAUGCAACGCGAAAACCUUACCUACCCUUGACAUGCCAGGAAGGCCGCAGAGAUGUGGUUGUGCCCGAAAGGGAGCCUGGACACAGGUGCUGCAUGGCUGUCGU
rnacentral:rRNA from 1 species